AGCUUCAAGUGAUGGACAGAUGCCUAGGGAGCACUAUGACCGAUUGGGAUGUAUUCGUACUGUCUGAUGGGCCC
rnacentral:snoRNA from 1 species